CGGGAAACUGGGGAUAAUAUUCGAUAGCUAAAAGAUCCUGGAAUGUUCUUUUAUCCAAAGCUUUUGCGCCUGAGGAUGGUCCUGCGUCCGAUUAGGUUGUUGGUGGGGUAAUGGCCCACCAAGCCUGCGAUCGGUACGGGCAGUGAGAGCUGAAGCCCGGAGUUGGGGACUGAGACAAGGCCCCAGGCCCUACGGGGCGCAGCAGGCGCGAAACCUCUGCAAUGCGGGAAACCGUGACAGGGGGAUCCCAAGUGCUCAUGCAGUGCAUGGGCUGUUGUUUGGUCUAAGGAACCAGAGGAGUAAGGGCUGGGCAAGACCGGUGACAGCCGCCGCGGUAACA
rnacentral:rRNA from 1 species